UACGGAAGGCAGCAGUGGGGAAUAUUGCACAAUGGGCGCAAGCCUGAUGCAGCCAUGCCGCGUGUAUGAAAAAGGCCUUCGGGUUGUAAAGUACUUUCAGUCGUGAGGAAGGUGUUAAGGUUAAUAACCUUAGCAAUUGACGUUAGCGACAGAAGAAGCACCGGCUAACUCCGUGCCAGCAGCCGCGGUAAUACGGAGGGUGCGAGCGUUAAUCGGAAUUACUGGGCGUAAAGGGCACGCAGGCGGUUAAUUAAGUUGGAUGUGAAAUCCCCGGGCUUAACCUGGGAAUGGCAUUCAAGACUGGUUAGCUAGAGUCUUGUAGAGGGGGUAGAAUUCCAUGUGUAGCGGUGAAAUGCGUAGAGAUGUGGAGGAAAUACCGGUGGCGAAGGGCGGGCCCCUGGACAAAGACUGACGCUCAUGUGCGAAAGCGUGGGGAGCAAACAGGGAUUAGAUACC
rnacentral:rRNA from 1 species